GUAGGGAAUAUUGGGCAAUGGAGGCAACUCUGACCCAGCCAUGCCGCGUGCAGGAAGACGGUCCUCUGGAUUGUAAACUGCUUUUGAAUGGGAAGAAACGUAGCUUUGCGAAGCUAUUUGACGGUACUAUUAGAAUAAGCACCGGCUAACUCCGUGCCAGCAGCCGCGGUAAUACGGAGGGUGCAAGCGUUAUCCGGAUUUAUUGGGUUUAAAGGGUGCGUAGGCGGCUUUAUAAGUCUGGGGUUAAAGGCGGCAGCUUAACUGUACGCAUGCCCUGGAAACUGUGAAGCUUGAGUGACUUGGAGGUAGCUAGAAUUCCCUGUGUAGCGGUGAAAUGCAUAGAUACGGGGAGGAAUACCGAUUGCGAAGGCAUGUUACUACGAGUAAACUGACGCUGAUGCACGAAAGCGUGGGGAUCAAACAGGAUUAGAAACCCCUGUAGUCC
rnacentral:rRNA from 1 species